AUUGAACGCUGGCGGCAUGCUUUACACAUGCAAGUCGAACGGCAGCGCGGGGCAACCUGGCGGCGAGUGGCGAACGGGUGAGUACUACAUCGGAACGUACCCAGAAGUGGGGGAUAACGUAGCGAAAGUUACGCUAAUACCGCAUACGUUCUACGGAAGAAAGUGGGGGACCUUCGGGCAUCAUGCUUUUGGAUCGGCGGAUGUCUGAUUAACUAGUUGGUGAGGUAAAAGCUCACCAAGGCGACGAUCAGUAGCUGGUCUGAGAGGACUACCAUCCACACUGGGACUGAGACACGGCCCAGACGCCUACGGGAGGCAGCAGUGGGGAAUUGUGGACAAUGGGCGCAAGCCUGAUCCAGCAAUGCCGCGUGAGUGAAGAAGGCCUUCGGGUUGUAAAGCUCUUUUGUCAGAGAAGAAACGGCUGAGGUUAAUACCUUCGGCUAAUGACGGUACCUGAAGAAUAAGCACCGGCUAACUACGUGCCAGCCGCCGCAGUAAAAC
rnacentral:rRNA from 1 species